rnacentral:rRNA from 1 species
UACGGGGGGGGCAAGCGUUGUUCGGAAUUACUGGGCGUAAAGGGCUCGUAGGUGGCCAACUAAGUCAGACGUGAAAUCCCUCGGCUUAACCGGGGAACUGCGUCUGAUACUGGAUGGCUUGAGUUCGGGAGAGGGAUGCGGAAUUCCAGGUGUAGCGGUGAAAUGCGUAGAUAUCUGGAGGAACACCGGUGGCGAAGGCGGCAUCCUGGACCGACACUGACGCUGAGAGCGAAAGCCAGGGGAGCAAACGGG